rnacentral:rRNA from 1 species
AACGAACGCUGGCGGCAGGCCUAACACAUGCAAGUCGAGCGAGGACUUCGGUCCUAGCGGCGGACGGGUGAGUAACGCGUGGGAACGUGCCCUUUGCUUCGGAAUAGCCCUGGGAAACUGGGAGUAAUACCGGAUGAGCCCUUUGGGGGAAAGAUUUAUCGGCGAAGGAUCGGCCCGCGUUGGAUUAGGUAGUUGGUGGGGUAAUGGCCUACCAAGCCGACGAUCCAUAGCUGGUUUGAGAGGAUGAGCAGCCACACUGGGGCUGAGACACGGCCCAGACUCCUACGGGAGGCAGCAGUGGGGAAUCUUAGACAAUGGGGGAAACCCUGAUCUAGCCAUGCCGCGUGAGCGAUGAAGGCCUUAGGGUUGUAAAGCUCUUUCAGCUGGGAAGAUAAUGACGGUACCAGCAGAAGAAGCCCCGGCUAACUCCGUG